rnacentral:rRNA from 1 species
AUGGUCAAUCCAUUUUGCCUGCGUUGCUGCUACUACCGCGCCUCCUCUGCUCCAGCUCAAAUGCUCCAGCCGCUGCUUCCUGGCACAACCACCACCACCAGCUGCGCCCGCGUGCGCCAGCCCUCUCCUCCAGCCGCUCCUCCCCGUCGGAGCUGCAUCGUCCGCUCGUGCCCGAGCUCCUCCCCAUCCCCACUCGGCCGGCUCCCGCGUUGGUGGCUUCCCGCGGUCCGGCUACAUCUGGCCGCACCCUGGUUGCCCCGGCACUCGCGCCCUCCUCUCCGCUCCGCCUCGCGAUGCCCGAGCCAGCUUCGCCCCGCGCAAGGUGCUCUGCGCACCGUGUUGUCCCUCCUCUCCGCUCCGCCUGCGCCACAUCGUCCCGCUGACGGCCUACCGCGCCGCUCCACUGGCGUCCCGGGCCGCCUGCCGAGUCGUCGCGCCCCGCACCGGCUCCGCUCCGCCCGCCAAACCCGGCGCCUGCAGGCUUCCGUGCAACCCGGCCCCGUGCCGGCUCGGCCUGCGCCGCGUCCGGCCUUCCCGUCGGGUCGUUGCGCCCAGCUGGCCGACUCUCGCGCCCGGCCUUCUCCGACUCGGCCACCAACUCACGCGCCCGGCCUCCCUGCGACCCGGCCCGCCGGCUUCGCUCGCGCCCGGCUUCCCUGCGACCCGGCCCGCCGGCUUCGCUUGCACCGGCUUCCCAGCGACCCAGCCCGCCGGCUUCGCUCGCGCCGACUUCCCCGCGACCCGGGCCGCCGGCUUCCCCGCCACUCGGCACGCCGGCUCCGCCCGCGUCGGAUACCCGGCAGGCCCUGUCGUCUGCCGACUUCCCCGCGUCCCGGACGCCGGCUUCUGCCGCGACCUGCUCCUGCCGGUUGCUUAUAUACAGAGAAAAGAAAGGGGGAGUGGGUGCUGGCUGGAGAAGAGAAAAGGCAAAAGGGCUGGAGAAGAGAAAAAGAAGAGAAGAGCCGGCUGGAGAAAAGUCAGUCCGGGUUCCCAGCCGGUUGA